AGUGUUGACUGUGCCGUCUAUUUUAUGAUUUGAAUACAUGGUCAUAAAUGAUAGUAAUUCAAAUUUUGCUCUUUAAAAUGCAACCAGGUGUUUGUUUACUUUGCAUAUCAGGUAAGUUCUGUUAGCUCUGCUUGAGUUUGAUAUGUGUAACUACUAGUGUGUCAUUCCAGUCUGGUGGAUCAUGAUUUUCAAAUGAUAUAAUGCAGCAGGUGAAGAUUUCAGUAACUUUAAGCUGCUGAAGACUCAUCAGAAAGGACAACAAUAAUGAUUGGUUGUUGACAUUACUGUAGCUGAGGAUGCAAAGGAACUGAAUGGAAGUGCCAUUCUCUCUUUGCUGGAGUAUGUUCACUUUUCUCAGGACUACUAACCUUUUUCAGGAUCAUAAAAUCUAGCGAGUAAGGAGAUGAUAGUGCUUUUGCCGCACCCGCUACUUCCGACCAGUGCCACCACCUUUCCUGCUGGGAUUGAAAAUGAGAACCCUUGAAGAAUCACCUUUUCCUGCCGGGAGGGAUUUUCUUUGGAUCACCUGAAAGACUUCCUUCCCUGCAGCUUUUGCUUGGUUGAAUAUCUGCAUGUCUGGUGCAGCAUAAGUGAGUGAUCUGCAAUGAAGAAAGAUGUAAAACCAAUUGGUGACGGUCCCAGCUCGUGGCCUUUCUUCUGCUGUAUGCAGAUGGUUGGCAGAAUCUAUGCAUGCAUUUACGAUUUUAGUUUCUUACAUAGCUCCGAAGAGGAUGCUCAUAACUGCAGCUAUGACGUCUCCUCCAGUUGAUCUCUUGUUCACAACAACAACUGCUCCGACCCAAACAAUGAGAGCCCACGAAGUGAAGGUCACAGUUUGAAACAUACCGGUCCCUGCACCCUUUAUUAAUGCUUCUUGCUUGCUUAAAAUGAGUUGCUUCUCUAAGCACUUCGAAAGCGACUUGGUUGCUCGGUUUUCUCCAACAAAUGCGUAUACGGUUUUGAUCUGGGAAAUCGUCUGUUAUGAAAAAGGUAAGCACUGUAUAAGUCCUCCUAACGUUUUGGACAAUGCAUACCUGUUAGCGUCAAAUGCCUGAAUCCUGCAGAUGCAGAACUAUUACCUGUUCUACCAGUGAUGUAGCCUCGGAGAGGUACGUCAACUUGGUUGCCGAAAUGGAAUUCAUCUUUUUGGUAUAAUUGGCUCCAAUAAAUAGAAUCAGGGGAACAACGAACAACGUAAGGAGUGACACUUCCCAGCAGGAUAUGAAAGCGACGAGAACCCCCGACACGAAAGUUGCCAAGCAUGAUAGGAAAUGCCCCAGCUGUAUGCGGGAGGCAAAAGACUCGAUUAGAAGAAAUUGUACGACUCUGACUGAAUAAUUGUGCCGCUUGUGUCCGCUAAGCUACCUUUGGUGGUGGUAUGUGUAGAACCAUACACAUAGGCAGGCAAGAAGCCAAAGUGAUGGAGACAACACAAAGGAGGAGGAGGAGGAGGUAGGUGCAAACUUAAAAAUCCGGACCUUCUCUCCAAUGGCAUCCUGUAUGAUGCGCAUGUGAUCGGUAAUUCCGGUGAUUACUUUAGCACUGCUUAAAUCUGUAUCGAAAGCUCCCAUCUCCUGCCUCAGUACUGCUCUUAAAAAAGCCAGCCUCAGACGUGAUACUUGUCUUUGGCUUGCAUGCAUCCAGCAUCCUGUCUCUGCAUGCAAUAUUAUAUUUAAAACCAUGGUGUCACCUAAUAUCUGGAAUUUUACUUCAUUCUUCUUUCACCUUCCUUCCCCAGUUUGAUAUUUUGCUUCUGCUCAUUAUAAGAAAGAAAGUUACCUACAACUCCGGCAGGAAACGUUGCAAUGGCCAUGUACCACACAUACGGAACGACCUGGACAACCAGCCAACCAAUCAACCAAGUGGGGUUCAGAAAUUAAUAUACAAAAAAAAAAAAAAAAAAA